CAGGUCUACUGUCGAUCGUCUUGCUUAGUUUUAAUGCCCUGAUGUAACUACUGCUGUUGUCCAGAUCUCGUUUGGGCCCAACACGGUGAGUGUUACUCCAUGGCGGACACAUAUUCCGGUGUUCGAAACGUCGUUUUAAUUAAAACAAGGACGAUGGACAGUGUCCAAGCACUAUGUCAUGAAAAAGCGUCGUUAUAUAAACUAUAAAUAAAUGACAGAUCAAGUUUCACACGCAUACAAAACCCGUAAAAUUAUGGUUUUGUAUAUUUAAACUUUAUUUCUAGAUUGCGUGCCAGGAAACAUUCCCAGAAAGUAAUUUCCUCUUAAAUUCUGUGAAGGUUAAUGUCGAUUGUUUAUAAAUCGCAUUCCUAGGGACAACAGGAAACAUCUACACAAAUUGAAACCGUCGCUCUUUGUUGGAUGGUCCACGAAUUUGUGUUGCUGUUUUUCGGCUCUGGGCACGUUUAAGUAUCGAUUGUACAUAGCAGCGGUCGAGGGGUAUCGCCGCGCGACGUCUGUGACGUCAUAUCCUGCCAUUUUGCUUGGGAAGGAAGCAGCGUGCCACAGCUGAGACCAGUUCAGGUCGAAGUACUCUGUUGGUGAGAGUAACGGAGGAGUAGGCCGCCGGGCUCAAUCGACUUGUGGUUCAGAAUUCUCUCCUUAUUUCCUCCGUAUGACGCCAAACUAACCCCUAUUCUAGUCAUCGUGUCUCUCUCCGACUGGCCACAGAAAGAAUCGGGCGUGCACUUUGUCCAGACAGGAGAAGAAUAUCUGCAUCAACAAUGUAACGAAGGAAGCGAGAUUUGAAGAGACCAGUGGCUCUGAGACACGCUUCAUGCGUCGAAGACGUCCUCAUUUGGCUUUCCUCUGGGCACUGAUCGUCCGAUGACACGUGCGAGGCAAGUGGCACUGGUGUAACGAAAGUGCAGUUGACAUGAACUCGUUUAUUUAACGCAAAUGCUCAGUGGAGUUUGUCUGCACACACGAGGCGGAGUAAAGUGUGUCCAGAACGUUGUCUUAUUGCGGUUCAGAAAUCUCUGUGACUGACAAGAACAAACCCGUUCUGUGCAUUUGGUGGACCUUCGAUGGAAUUACUGCCCUCAAGAACAUCCGCGAGUGGACGUUCACACGAGCUGGUGGAGGACUGCGGAUGACGAGGCGAGGCACCCAGGAGCACCGCACUCUGCAAAAAUAAGCGAGUAACGUCAGGAGAACGCACACAAUCGCUCCGACUACAGGACACACAUUAGAGCUUUGUCCGUAAGCUUUCUCACUUCGAAUGUUCGUUCAAUCACAACGCGUGCCGACAGUUUGAGAGGCGCCAUUCGUCAAUAAGCAGCGAAACUUCUUAAAGCGCACGUCCGAUUUGGGCAGGGAGAAUGUCGCCACCGCUCAAACGCCACGCUGCAGUCAGAUGUUACAAAAUGUUCCUCCCGAUCAACCUCAAAUAAAAAUAUCCUUUACGGCUGAUGCUAGUUUGCUGUUUCUUUCCAUGCGGCCUCCGGAAACUUCCUUUUGCGAUGUUUGCUUAGUAGCUUGUCAUUUGUUUCGGUGGAACGCCGUUAGCAGACGGCUUCAAAGUAGCAGAUGUCAGGGCACGUUCCUUG